rnacentral:misc_RNA from 1 species
UAAUUGUCCCGAAGCUUCGGGAGGCAUGAUUUUAUAAAGCUUCCAGCCUUUUGAAGGCUGGAAGCUUUAUAAAAGAUACAGUGGAAAGCGGGAAAUAGC